CCUACGGGAGGCAGCAGUGAGGAAUAUUGGUCAAUGGCCGGAAGGCUGAACCAGCCAAGCCGCGUGAAGGACGAAGGUGCCAAGUAUUGUAAACCUCUUUUGUCAAGGGACAAAAUCUGGCUCGAGUGCCUGACUGAGGGUACCUGAAGAAAAAGCAUCGGCUAACUCCGUGCCAGCAGCCGCGGUAAUACGGAGGAUGCGAGCGUUAUCCGGAUUUAUUGGGUUUAACGGUUGAGUAGGCGGUCUGUUAAGUCAGUGGUAAAAGACCGGGGCUCAACCCCGGCGAGCCGUUGAAACUGGCUGUCUUGAGAUGUAGAGAGGUAUGCGGAAUGCGCGGUGUAGCGGUGAAAUGCUUAGAUAUUGCGCAGAACUCCGAUUGCGAAGGCAGCAUACCGGCGGCGAACUGACGCUGAGGCACGAAAGCGUGGGUAUCGAACAGGAUUAGAUACCCUGGUAGUC
rnacentral:rRNA from 1 species